GACGAACGCUGGCGGCGUGCCUAACACAUGCAAGUAGAACGCUGAAGAGAGGAGCUUGCUCUUCUUGGAUGAGUUGCGAACGGGUGAGUAACGCGUAGGUAACCUGCCUUGUAGCGGGGGAUAACUAUUGGAAACGAUAGCUAAUACCGCAUAACAAUGGAUGACACAUGUCAUUUAUUUGAAAGGGGCAAUUGCUCCACUACAAGAUGGACCUGCGUUGUAUUAGCUAGUAGGUGAGGUAAUGGCUCACCUAGGCGACGAUACAUAGCCGACCUGAGAGGGUGAUCGGCCACACUGGGACUGAGACACGGCCCAGACUCCUACGGGAGGCAGCAGUAGGGAAUCUUCGGCAAUGGGGGCAACCCUGACCGAGCAACGCCGCGUGAGUGAAGAAGGGUUUCGGAUCGUAAAGCUCUGUUGUAAGUCAAGAACGGGUGUGAGAGUGGAAAGUUCACACUGUGACGGUAGCUUACCAGAAAGGGACGGCUAACUACGUG
rnacentral:rRNA from 1 species